GACAGAGGGUGCAAACGUUGUUCGGAAUUACUGGGCGUAAAGCGCGUGUAGGCGGCCCUGCAAGUCGGAUGUGAAAUCCCACGGCUCACCGUGGAAGUGCAUUCGAAACUGCAGGGCUAGAGUCCUGGAGAGGAAGGUGGAAUGCUUGGUGUAGAGGUGAAAUUCGUAGAUAUCAAGCGGAACACCGGUGGCGAAGGCGCCUUCUGGACAGUGACUGACGCUGAGACGCGAAAGCGUGGGGAGCAAACAGG
rnacentral:rRNA from 1 species